rnacentral:lncRNA from 1 species
GGUGGAAGAACCAAUUCUUCUUUGCUUCCACUUCUUUUCCUUGGGGGUUCCCUUCUCACUGGGGCGACCCUCGGACUCAACCAAACGAAAAUAGUCGGGUGGAGGAUAGAGACCGAGAGGACUUUCACCGACUGAAGGAUGUGUUGGUGCCAAGGCAGAGGGAGCUCGUCACCGAGCAAGCUCUGUACGAUGUCGACCUGAGUUCGAUUCCUCGCCU